rnacentral:rRNA from 1 species
GUGAGGAAUAUUGGUCAAUGGGCGGGAGCCUGAACCAGCCAAGUCGCGUGAAGGAAGAAGGAUCUAUGGUUCGUAAACUUCUUUUGCAGGGGAAUAAAGUGCAGGACGUGUCCUGUUUUGUAUGUACCCUGAGAAUAAGGAUCGGCUAACUCCGUGCCAGCAGCCGCGGUAAUACGGAGGAUCCGAGCGUUAUCCGGAUUUAUUGGGUUUAAAGGGUGCGUAGGUGGUUUGAUAAGUCAGCGGUGAAAGUUUGCAGCUUAACUGUAAAAAUGCCGUUGAAACUGUCGGACUUGAGUGUAAAUGAGGUAGGCGGAAUGCGUGGUGUAGCGGUGACAUGCAUAGAUAUCACGCAGAACUCCGAUUGCGAAGGCAGCUUACUAAGCUACAACUGACACUGAAGCACGAAAGCGUGGGGAUCAAACAGGAUUAGAAACCCCGGUAGUCC